rnacentral:misc_RNA from 1 species
AUAAAAUCUGCUCAUAAUCUAGAGACAAAAAUUCUUGUUCUAACAAAUACUUCAUUAUAAAUCAUGUACAGACUGGUCCUUUCUCUUCUGGCUUCCUUUUAGAAUGUAGCCAUUCCCACCAAGCAAAAGCACUACUUUUCAACCAACAAGCCACCAACUAGAUUUGUUUUUCAGGUGCUAUAUCCACACAAUCAAAGAAUUUUUCCACAUUAACAAUCCAAUCUAAAAAUUCCUCUAUAUUGAGAUCCCCAUAGAAAUUAAGAAUAUCAAGAUAACUUGCACUUCUUUUUCUAUCAUCAUCAUAAUAGUGAUGCCUAUUGAACUUGAUUGGU